rnacentral:lncRNA from 1 species
CCGGUGGCACCCUCUGCUACCCGGAGGGAGGCAGGAGCUCCACUGAGGAUAGGCUGCCUCCUGCACACGGUCACUGGUACACAUCUUUGCUGAAAUGCAUCUGUACGUGUCAGAAGCCUGGUGCCUCCUCCGAUGUAUUGUUAAUAUUCUGGUUAUCAUGCAAGAAGUCAUUGAUGAACAAGUUUAAGCAGUGUGCAAACAACGUUACCUGCUGAGAAGUGUUAAGGGCUGGACUUCAAAACCUGGUGGGACUAUUUAUAGAAGGCAGUAGGAUUUUUUUCCUUCAAAAAGAAAACCAAAGACAUAAAAUAAACAAAGUUAUGUUGAGAGGACUUC